CGCGUAUGCGACCUGCCUACUACAGGGGAAUAGCCUUCCGAAAGGGAGAUUAAUACCGCAUAAAACAGGGGUCCCGCAUGGGAAUAUUUGUUAAAGAUUUAUCGGUAGUAGAUGAGCAUGCGUUCCAUUAGCUAGUUGGUGAGGUAACGGCUCACCAAGGCAACGAUGGAUAGGGGAACUGAGGGGUUUAUCCCCCACACUGGUACUGAGACACGGACCAGACUCCUACGGGAGGCAGCAGUGAGGAAUAUUGGUCAAUGGACGAGAGUCUGAACCAGCCAAGUCGCGUGAAGGACGACGGUUCUAUGGAUUGUAAACUUCUUUUGUACCAGAGUAAAAUGAGCCACGAGUGGUUUAUUGCAAGUAUGGUACGAAUAAGCAUCGGCUAACUCCGUG
rnacentral:rRNA from 1 species